UACAGGGGGUGCAAACGUUGCUCGGAAUCAUUGGGCGUAAAGGGCGUGCAGGCGGUUUGUUAAGUCUAGGGUGAAAGCUCCCGGCUCAACUGGGAGAGGUCCUUGGAUACUGGCAGACUUGAGGAGGGUAGAGGAGAGUGGAAUUCCCGGUGUAGUGGUGAUAUGCGUAGAUAUCGGGAGGAACACCAGUGGCGAAGGCGGCUUUCUGGGCCUUACCUGACGCUGAGACGCGAAAGCGUGGGGAGCGAACCGG
rnacentral:rRNA from 1 species